rnacentral:lncRNA from 1 species
ACAGGUUUGGGAGCUCUUCACUUCCUAUGGUCACACUAUGCAUGCGUGGAAAAUUAAUGCCAACAACAAAAUAUCAUCAAGGACACCAGCACCCACCUGGGGAGCACCAUUGCAGGGCUGUGACUGUCAGCAGGAAGCCACCUCUUCGUUUGCACCUUUCGUUUUCGACGUUUCAGGGCGAGCUGCGCUACAACAGCCUGCGCGUUAAAACGGGGAAUGAAACAGAAAUGGAAAUAAACGCCCGCAUCUGUCUCGUUUUUAAGUCUGGCUGAAGAGGUAAAGGCGGCUCACACGCAACGAUUUCGGGGCACGGAGUUGAAACGAGAGAGCCAAUUCAGGCGUCGUUGUCACCGUUCGUGCCACCUCCUCCCUCCCCGGCAGCUCUCCUCCUCCCCCCGGCACACGCCGCGGAGCUUCGUACCGCUUCCCCGUACGGGAAGGGCUCCUCCGUCCGCAGACGGAACACCGACGGCAGCCCCGGGGGCGCGGCCGUGAGCCGGGAAGCGGAGGAGCCGCACAGGAGCGGAGCGCCCUCGGCUUUCUGCUGCCGUCGGGGCAGCCCCUCUCCCGUCACUAUGUCCCAGGCAGGUGAUGGGCACCUCGGGAUGUGACAACACCCCCCCGAUAUUCCCGUGCAUCGGAGUGUCCGUGACAAAUAGAGGCAAGGAGAGGCAAGAAAGGGGGAGGAGGGAGAGAAAGGCGCGCACACAAUAGCCAGGCAAAUUGUUAGCAACUCCGGCGUUCGGGGAAGCCGGUCCUGGAACUGCGCUCUCAUCAGUCACCGCUCCUGAAGUGAUAGUAAAAAUGCAUCUAAACACGCUGCGGUGUGAUGUAUAAAAGCACAGCGGGAUGAGCUGCUUUCCAAAAAGGGACUUGGUGAUUGGAUAUGCCCUGGCAUGAUUGACAAGAGCUUAGUUUGGUAAAGAGAAGACACGCAAGCUUUCACAGCGGGAUUUCUUUUCUAAAAUAUAUCACACUAGCCUUUGAAAAGCGCCGCACACUAUAAGGGAAAUAAGGUUGCUUUAUAGUGCGCUGACAUUUCUUUAAAACACAACUAAGAUCAAAAAAAGAAAUAAAAUGUGUUCCAAACACA